rnacentral:misc_RNA from 1 species
GUCUGUGUAAAGUGUAUUUCUGACAAACAAGCAAGCGUAAACAUCAGAGCCGAGACCCUGUGCUAAUGUGGGUGGCUACUCUUGAUUAACACGUGAUUAACACGUGAUUAACACAGUUAAUACAAGGGGCCACCUCCGAUUUGUAAUGAUCCUUCCGCAGGUUCACCUACGGAAA